rnacentral:SRP_RNA from 1 species
GCCAGAGCAAAAGGUUGUUCACACCUGUAAUACCCACUAUCAGGAGGCUGAGGCUGGUAGCUUGUUUGAGCUCAGGAGUUCUGAGUUGCAGUAGGGCUAAAGCCUCCUGGAUUUCUGCGCUAAGUACUGCACCAAAAUGGUUAGCACCUGGGAGCAAGAGGCCACCAGGCUGUUUAAGGAGGGGCAAACCAGCCCAGGUCAAAAAUGUAACAGAUCAAAGCUACCAUGCCUAUCAAUAGUAGGACAGGCCAUGAGUGGCUACUGCAUUUAUAACCUUUGCAAGAUAAGAAGAGCCAGUCUUAA